rnacentral:tRNA from 1 species
GGGGCCUUAGCUCAGAUGGGAGAGCGCCUGCAUGGCAUGCAGGAGGUCAGGGGUUCGAUCCCCCUAGGCUCCACCA